GGAGGUAGUGACAAUAAAUCACAAUGCGGGACUAUCAGUCUUGCAAUUGGAUUGAGAACAAUGUACAACUCUUAUCGAUAAGCCAUUGGAGGGCAAGUCUGGUGCCAGCAGCCGCGGUAAUUCCAGCUCCAAUAGCGUAUAUUAACGUUGUUGCAGUUAAAAAGCUCGUAGUUGAAGUGUGGGUGAUCGCUGUUGUGAGACUUCGGUCUCUCGACAGUAAGUCACCCCCUUCCAGUAUCCAGUAGUGGGUAUUCAGUUACUUACUAUUGUGUGUUGGUCCUUUACUGUGAGAAAAUUAGAGUGUUCAAAGCAGGCGUUUGCUUGAAUAGAUUAGCAUGGAAUAAUAAUUGAAGGCUUUCGUGUUCGAUUUGAUUGGUUUGUUCAUGGAAGCAAGGUUAAAAGGAACAGUUGGGGGUAUUCAUAUUCACUAGUUAGAGGUGAAAUUCUCGGAUUUAUGGAAGAUGAACAAGGGCGAAAGC
rnacentral:rRNA from 1 species